ACGAACGCUGGCGGCGUGCUUAACCCAUGCCAGUCGAACGGAAAGGCCCUGCUUUUGUGGGGUGCUCGAGUGGCGAACGGGUGAGUAACACGUGAGUAACCUGCCCUUGACUUUGGGAUAACUUCAGGAAACUGGGGCCAAUACCGGAUAGGAGCUCCUGCUGCAUGGUGGGGGUUGGAAAGUUUCGGCGGUUGGGGAUGGACUCGCGGCUUAUCAGCUUGUUGGUGGGGUAGUGGCUUACCAAGGCUUUGACGGGUAGCCGGCCUGAGAGGGUGACCGGCCACAUUGGGACUGAGAUACGGCCCAGACUCCUACGGGAGGCAGCAGUGGGGAAUAUUGCACAAUGGGCGGAAGCCUGAUGCAGCAACGCCGCGUGCGGGAUGACGGCCUUCGGGUUGUAAACCGCUUUCGCCUGUGACGAAGCGUGAGUGACGGUAAUGGGUAAAGAAGCACCGGCUAACUACGUG
rnacentral:rRNA from 1 species